rnacentral:lncRNA from 1 species
AAGGAUGUGGGUGUGUACUCAGCAAUGCUAAGAAAGUAAUGACCAGAAAGUAUGAAGAGGUUGAAGUUUUGUAAUGCAAAAUUGUCCUUCAGUUUGCAUUCCUGUGAAUAUUAGAGUGCCCAUUUCCUCAUGCCUUCACACAUACCUGGAUAUUAUCAGACUUUUUAACUGUUGCCCUUCAGAUGGAGAACAAAUGGGUGUCUUAUAAUUGCCAUAAAACUUCAUAAAACUGAGGUUUUAUGUAUUUUGAAUGAUAUCAUUUCCUGCCUUUUAAGAAGCCUCAGACUUUCUCUGAACACUUUUCUCUCUAACGGAUACUGUGUUUUCAGUCUCUGCUUCAUGACUUAUCCUUUACCGUGAUUUUUAAAAAAAUGCCCUACUAAUUGUGAAUCUGAAUGCUUAAAUGAGUUCAGGAGUUCAGAGUUAUGGUGGAUCAGUAAUAUGCAUUAGUGACCUUACCUACAUGUAUCCAUUUUCUAUUACUUGCAUAGUCUCUAGACCUAUUGAGACAAAAAUCCUAGAUUGGCCUUAUAACAUAGCUGAAAUAUUAUUUUAUUGAAAAUCAGCUUUGGAAUAUAGUAUUAUUCACUUCCAUGGGGAAAUACAGCCCAUGAUGUGCUUUGCAUCAUGCUGAUUCCCUAUCUCAGGGCCUAAGAGAGAGACUGAGCAUCUUGUUUAAGUAUUCUGAUUCUUUGGCCUAGGAAGGCAGUUUCCCCUCUAUUUCUGAGAUGGUUUGGGCUGUCCAUUCAAAGGGACUCAGAAAACUUUACAAGUGAGGCUUGAGAUUAAGUGUAGUUGACCACUCCAGCCUGUUUUCUGCAUAGGGUUUCAUCUUCUAUUACUCCUUAAAUUACAAUCAUAAAUUCAUUCUCCCUUGCGCACAGCCCACCCCUCAACUGUGAAAGCAGAAAUGUGUAAAUUCACACAUGCAGCAGCAGGCUUUCAUAAAUUGUUGAGGGUUCCUAAGGUAUAACAGAUUUGCUUGAGAAGCCAAGCGGAUAACCUAUUACUAUGUUCUGCAAUGUUUGCUUAAUACCACCAGGUGGAAGCAUACCAACAUUUUCCAGAAGGUGGGUGCUAAGAAUUAGCCUCAACUAGCUUAGCACAGUUAUGCAAGGCUAAAACUUUACUAAGUUAACCUUCUCUUUAAAAUAAUGUCUUCUAAAGAUAAUUAAGUUAUUGAAAUUAAUGGAGGUGGAGGGACAAAUACAUAAAACAAUUUUGAAAGUUUUAAAGAAUUAAAAGCUAAACUUCCCACAGGCACGGUCUGUCUAUCUCUAUAUCCGACACAUUGUAAAUAAUAAAUGAAGAUUUGUUCCACCAUUCUCUAACUAACCUAUUCUGUUCUCAGGUACUGUCCAUUCACUGGAUAAAGCCUUUUUUCUUCAUAAAUUACCCUGGCCUCUGUCUUCCAGACUCUCAGAGGCCCCUGUCCUAUUAAACAAUCCUUUCAUUUGUAUUCUGUUAGAAAUAUAGUUUAAUGUGCUAUUCCUCUUACAUGGCCUGUACACCCAUCAGGGUGAAGAAAUUGCUACAGUCAAAGAAUAUUUGUCCUUUCAAUUAAACCAUUAAUUGUCAAAUAGGCAAAGAAAUCUAAGCUAAAUAUGUCAUGGUAUAUCAUGAAUAGAGAUUUUUUCCUAGGAUUGUUCCUUUGGCAUGUUAGCAUUUAAAAGGCAAAUGGAAGAUUUCUAGUGGAAGCUAACAGAUGUCUAUCUCUCCCUCCACACAAUAACAGUAAUAAAAUUUGUUAAAUGUAUAAAGCCACAGCAACAAAGGGAAUUAGUGAUGGGUUCUCAAUCAGCUAUCAAUAUCAGGAAACUUCUGGAUGACAGAGGAGAUAGAAGAUGGUAACUGAUAAAGUACGGUAGAGGAAGCCGAAAGGCAGGAGUACAUGAACACUGGGAUGGGGGACAGCUGAAAAGAGAGGCAGUUUGCCCUAUGGAACCAUGAAAAGUCUGGAGCUGUGGAAAUCAAAGUAAUGACAAAAGUUGGGAAGCAGAGGAAAGCUGAAGACAUAAGCAUUUGCUGAAAAGACUCAUUGAAAGUUUAUACAGAAGAGUCUAUAUUGCCUCCCAUCCCCCCUUACACACAUACUAUAUUCCAUGGGGACAUGAGUCCAUUAGCAGGCAAAAUGUGAGGACAUUUUUUCUCAAAAACAGUUAUAAAUUUUCUUUAAAAAUCAU